CCUUUUGUUGUUUUGUAAUAACUAUGUACUUUUAAAACUGGAUAUUCUCACAUAAUGAUCAUAAUGUUGAACCAUUUUGACAGACAGCUUUACUUUGUCGUUAAUUUGUCUGUGUAAUUAAUUAAAUUAGAAUAUUUAUUGACCUUUCAUAUGUCUUCUCGAUUAAAUGUCUUUCACGAUCCGUUACUAGAACUUUCACGAUCGUCUUCAAUACUUGACCGCCGUUAGAUAUUCUUUCACGAUCAUUUCUCUCGUUAAACCGAAUGACACCCGUGGAAAUAGUAACCA
rnacentral:lncRNA from 1 species